GAUGAACGCUAGCGACAGGCCUAACACAUGCAAGUCGAGGGGCAUCAGGGUUGAAGCUUGCUUCAACUGCUGGCGACCGGCGCACGGGUGAGUAACACGUAUGCAACCUGCCCGUCACAGGGGGAUAAUCAGGGGAAACUCUGUCUAAUACCCCAUAAUGUGUUUUGGGGGCAUCCCCGAGACACCAAAGCUUUAUGUGCUGAAAGAUGGCCUCGCGUCUGAUUAGAUAGUUGGUGAGGUAACGGCUCACCAAGUCUGCGAUCAGUAGCCGGUCUGAGAGGAUGAACGGCCACAUUGGGACUGAGAUACGGCCCAGACUCCUACGGGAGGCAGCAGUGGGGAAUAUUGGGCAAUGGGGGAAACCCUGACCCAGCAACGCCGCGUGAAGGAAGAAGGCCUCGGUUGUAACGUUACUUUUAGUCUAGGGACGAAGAACGUAGACGGUACC
rnacentral:rRNA from 1 species